rnacentral:rRNA from 1 species
GAUGAACGCUGGCGGCGUGCCUAACACAUGCAAGUCGAACGGAGUCCAGCCUUUAAGACCUUCGGGUCAAAGAGGGGAAGACUGAGUGGCGGACGGGUGAGUAACACGUGGGCAACCUGGCUCAUAGAGGGGGAUAACAGAGAGAAAUUUCUGCUAAUACCGCAUAAGCACACACUGCCGCAUGGCAGAGGGUGAAAAGAGAAUCGCUAUGAGAUGGACCCGCGUCUGAUUAGCCAGUUGGCAGGGUAAGAGCCUACCAAAGCGACGAUCAGUAGCCGAUCUGAGAGGAUGAACGGCCACAUUGGGACUGAGACAUGGCCCAGACUCCUACGGGAGGCAGCAGUGGGGGAUAUUGCACAAUGGGGGGAACCCUGAUGCAGCGACGCCGCGUGAGUGAAGAAGUAUUUCGGUAUGUAAAGCUCUAUCAGCAGGGAAGAUAAUGACAGUACCUGAAUAAGAAGCCCCGGCUAACUACGUG